AGAUUAAGUUAUUAAGGGCGCACGGUGGAUGCCUUGGCACUAGAAGCCGACGAAGGACGUUACUAACGACGAUAUGCUUUGGGUAGCUGUAAGUAAGCGUUGAUCCAGAGAUUUCCGAAUGGGGGAACCCAGCACGAGUUAUGUCGUGUUAUCGACAAGUGAAUUCAUAGCUUGUCAGAAGGCAGACCCGGAGAACUGAAACAUCUUAGUACCCGGAGGAAGAGAAAGAAAAAUCGAUUCCCUGAGUAGCGGCGAGCGAAACGGGAAGAGCCCAAACCAAUAAGCUUGCUUAUUGGGGUUGUAGGACACUCUAUACGGAGUUACAAAGGAAUAUGUUAGACGAAUCAUCUGGAAAGUUGAAUCAAAGAAGGUAAUAAUCCUGUAGUUGAAAAUAUAUUCUCUCUUGAGUGGAUCCUGAGUACGACGGAGCACGUGAAAUUCCGUCGGAAUCUGGGAGGACCAUCUCCUAAGGCUAAAUACUCUCUAGUGACCGAUAGUGAACCAGUACCGUGAGGGAAAGGUGAAAAGUACCCCGGAAGGGGAGUGAAAGAGAACUUGAAACCGUGUGCUUACAAGUAGUCAGAGCCCGUUAAUGGGUGAUGGCGUGCCUUUUGUAGAAUGAACCGGCGAGUUACGAUCUGAUGCAAGGUUAAGCAGGAAAUGUGGAGCCGUAGCGAAAGCGAGUCUGAAUAGGGCGUUGAGUAUUUGGUCGUAGACCCGAAACCAGGUGAUCUACCCAUGGUCAGGUUGAAGUUCAGGUAACACUGAAUGGAGGACCGAACCGACUUACGUUGAAAAGUGAGCGGAUGAACUGUGGGUAGCGGAGAAAUUCCAAUCGAACUUGGAGAUAGCUGGUUCUCUCCGAAAUAGCUUUAGGGCUAGCCUCAAGUGAUGAUUAUUGGAGGUAGAGCACUGUUUGGACGAGGGGCCCCUCUCGGGUUACCGAAUUCAGACAAACUCCGAAUGCCAAUUAAUUUAACUUGGGAGUCAGAACAUGGGUGAUAAGGUCCGUGUUCGAAAGGGAAACAGCCCAGACCACCAGCUAAGGUCCCAAAAUAUAUGUUAAGUGGAAAAGGAUGUGGCGUUGCCCAGACAACUAGGAUGUUGGCUUAGAAGCAGCCAUCAUUUAAAGAGUGCGUAAUAGCUCACUAGUCGAGUGACACUGCGCCGAAAAUGUACCGGGGCUAAACAUAUUACCGAAGCUGUGGAUUGUCCGUAGGACAAUGGUAGGAGAGCGUUCUAAGGGCGUUGAAGCAUGAUCGCAAGGACAUGUGGAGCGCUUAGAAGUGAGAAUGCCGGUGUGAGUAGCGAAAGACGGGUGAGAAUCCCGUCCACCGAUUGACUAAGGUUUCCAGAGGAAGGCUCGUCCGCUCUGGGUUAGUCGGGUCCUAAGCUGAGGCCGACAGGCGUAGGCGAUGGAUAACAGGUUGAUAUUCCUGUACCACCUAGCAUCGUUUUAAUCGAUGGGGGGACGCAGUAGGAUAGGCGAAGCGUACGAUUGGAUUGUACGUCUAAGCAGUGAGAUUGAGUGUUAGGCAAAUCCGGCACUCUUAAGAUUGAGCUGUGAUGGGGAGAGGAAAUUGUUUCCUCGAGUCGUUGAUUUCACACUGCCGAGAAAAGCCUCUAGAUAGAUAAUAGGUGCCCGUACCGCAAACCGACACAGGUAGUCAAGAUGAGAAUUCUAAGGUGAGCGAGCGAACUCUCGUUAAGGAACUCGGCAAAAUGACCCCGUAACUUCGGGAGAAGGGGUGCUCUUUAGGGUGCAAGCCCAGAAGAGCCGCAGUGAAUAGGCCCAAGCGACUGUUUAUCAAAAACACAGGUCUCUGCUAAACCGUAAGGUGAUGUAUAGGGGCUGACGCCUGCCCGGUGCUGGAAGGUUAAGAGGAGUGGUUAGCUUCUGCGAAGCUACGAAUCGAAGCCCCAGUAAACGGCGGCCGUAACUAUAACGGUCCUAAGGUAGCGAAAUUCCUUGUCGGGUAAGUUCCGACCCGCACGAAAGGCGUAACGAUUUGGGCACUGUCUCAACGAGAGACUCGGUGAA
rnacentral:rRNA from 1 species